UGGGGAAUAUUGCACAAUGGGCGCAAGCCUGAUGCAGCCAUGCCGCGUGUAUGAAGAAGGCCUUCGGGUUGUAAAGUACUUUCAGCGGGGAGGAAGGCGACAGGGUUAAUAACCCUGUCGAUUGACGUUACCCGCAGAAGAAGCACCGGCUAACUCCGUGCCAGCAGCCGCGGUAAUACGGAGGGUGCAAGCGUUAAUCGGAAUUACUGGGCGUAAAGCGCACGCAGGCGGUCUGUCAAGUCGGAUGUGAAAUCCCCGGGCUCAACCUGGGAACUGCAUUCGAAACUGGCAGGCUAGAGUCUUGUAGAGGGGGGUAGAAUUCCAGGUGUAGCGGUGAAAUGCGUAGAGAUCUGGAGGAAUACCGGUGGCGAAGGCGGCUCUCUGGUCUGUAACUGACGCUGAGGCUCGAAAGCGUGGGGAGCAAACAGG
rnacentral:rRNA from 1 species